GCUCGCUGGCAGGUUUAGUCCCUGUAACUCUGAGUUUCUCCUCUUUAAAUGAACCAUCAGAUUGAUGCAGGUAUUUUCUCAGACAUGGCGUGUCCUUUUCUCGAAAGACUGGUCGACAUCGAAGCACAAAUUAUCCGCAGGAAUCUCCGUCGGGAGAGGGUGAUCAGACCUCGUUUAGAUAUUUUAUCAUUUACAGAUGAUUUUCUGUUAGAGCGUUACCGUUUUUCAUCACAGAUAAUCAUUUAUCUCAACAAUAUUCUUAGACCUCAUUUUGCUCGUCAAACACACCGUGGACAUCCUCUCAGUUCCGAGCAAAUUCUUUGUACAGCAGUUCGCUUUUUUGCUAAUGGCAGCUUUCUGUACAAUAUUGGUGACGCUCAACAUGUUUCUAAGGCAACCGUCUGUCGGUGUAUCAGACAGGUUACUCUUGCGCUUAAACGUUUUCUCUACACGUUUGUGGCAUUUCCUGGUCACAGAUGUAGUAGAAUAAUCAAGGAACAAUUCCACAGAAUUGCAGGUAUGAAGUAAUAGCCUCAUAUAUUUAGUAAUAAGCUUCUAGAUUUGAAGCAAUACACAAUUGUAGGUUAAGACUAGAUUAAAUACAGUUACGCUUUUUGCAUUGUUACACCAUACAAAACUAGAAACUGACUGUAGUACCUGUUCAAAUUAAGUCGGCUUAUGCCUUCUUUGUUAGGAUUUCCAGCUGUGAUUGGUUGCAUAGAUGGCACACAUAUUCCCAUUGAGGCUCCUUCAGUAAAUGAAGGAGACUAUGUGAAUAGAAAGUCAUUCCACAGUAUUCAUGUGCAGGUAGGUGAGUUUCUAGCUUUUAGUAGUUUACUGCAUUGAAUUAUUGGCCUACUUUACAGUACAUCUACAGUAACUAAUCACUGUUCUGCAUUGUGAAGAUUAUAUGUGAUGCAGCCUAUGUCAUCAGCAACGUGGAGGCAAAGUGGCCUGGGUCUGUGCAUGAUGCCAGAAUGUUCCGUGAAUGCACACUUAGUGCUAGACUUGCUCGUGGGGAGUUCAGUGGUUACCUACUCGGUGACAGGGGGUACCCAUGCCAGCCCUAUCUGCUGACCCCAUACCCUGAUCCUGAGCCUGGCCCACAGCAAAGAUAUAACUUGGCUCACAGCAGGACCCGGGCAAGAAUAGAGAUGGCCCUGGGCAUACUGAAGGCCCAUUUCCAGUGCCUUCGUGGGCUCCGUGGCACCCCAGAAAGGGCCUGUGAUAUCAUCAUUGCAUGCGUAGUCCUGCACAAUAUUGCAGUGAUGAGAAGAGAAACCUGGGUUGCUGCCCCAGAGGUUGACCCUGAUAACAACCCUGACAUUCCUGUUGAUGCAACAGAUGGACAAGCUGUUCGAAACGCAAUAUGUUCUAAUCAUUUCCAGUAAAUAAGUUGCAAAUAAAAACAAAUGACAAUCA